AUUGAACGCUGGCGGCAGGCCUAACACAUGCAAGUCGAGCGGUAGCACAGAGAGCUUGCUCUCGGGUGACGAGCGGCGGACGGGUGAGUAAUGUCUGGGAAACUGCCUGAUGGAGGGGGAUAACUACUGGAAACGGUAGCUAAUACCGCAUAANGUCGCAAGACCAAAGUGGGGGACCUUCGGGCCUCAUGCCAUCAGAUGUGCCCAGAUGGGAUUAGCUAGUAGGUGGGGUAACGGCUCACCUAGGCGACGAUCCCUAGCUGGUCUGAGAGGAUGACCAGCCACACUGGAACUGAGACACGGUCCAGACUCCUACGGGAGGCAGCAGUGGGGAAUAUUGCACAAUGGGCGCAAGCCUGAUGCAGCCAUGCCGCGUGUGUGAAGAAGGCCUUCGGGUUGUAAAGCACUUUCAGCGGGGAGGAAGGCGNUNAGGUUAAUAACCUNGNCGAUUGACGUUACCCGCAGAAGAAGCACCGGCUAACUCCGUGCCAGCAGCCGCGGUAAUACGGAGGGUGCAAGCGUUAAUCGGAAUUACUGGGCGUAAAGCGCACGCAGGCGGUCUGUCAAGUCGGAUGUGAAAUCCCCGGGCUCAACCUGGGAACUGCAUUCGAAACUGGCAGGCUAGAGUCUUGUAGAGGGGGGUAGAAUUCCAGGUGUAGCGGUGAAAUGCGUAGAGAUCUGGAGGAAUACCGGUGGCGAAGGCGGCCCCCUGGACAAAGACUGACGCUCAGGUGCGAAAGCGUGGGGAGCAAACAGGAUUAGAUACCCUGGUAGUCCACGCCGUAAACGAUGUCGAUUUGGAGGUUGUGCCCUUGAGGCGUGGCUUCCGGAGCUAACGCGUUAAAUCGACCGCCUGGGGAGUACGGCCGCAAGGUUAAAACUCAAAUGAAUUGACGGGGGCCCGCACAAGCGGUGGAGCAUGUGGUUUAAUUCGAUGCAACGCGAAGAACCUUACCUGGUCUUGACAUCCACAGAACUUUCCAGAGAUGGAUUGGUGCCUUCGGGAACUGUGAGACAGGUGCUGCAUGGCUGUCGUCAGCUCGUGUUGUGAAAUGUUGGGUUAAGUCCCGCAACGAGCGCAACCCUUAUCCUUUGUUGCCAGCGGUNNGGCCGGGAACUCAAAGGAGACUGCCAGUGAUAAACUGGAGGAAGGUGGGGAUGACGUCAAGUCAUCAUGGCCCUUACGACCAGGGCUACACACGUGCUACAAUGGCAUAUACAAAGAGAAGCGACCUCGCGAGAGCAAGCGGACCUCAUAAAGUAUGUCGUAGUCCGGAUUGGAGUCUGCAACUCGACUCCAUGAAGUCGGAAUCGCUAGUAAUCGUAGAUCAGAAUGCUACGGUGAAUACGUUCCCGGGCCUUGUACACACCGCCCGUCACACCAUGGGAGUGGGUUGCAAAAGAAGUAGGUAGCUUAACCUUCGGGAGGGCGCUUACCACUUUGUGAUUCAUGACUGGGGUGAAG
rnacentral:rRNA from 1 species